AUCCGGGUUGCGGACAGUGUCUGGUGGGUAGUUUGACUGGGGCGGUCUCCUCCUAAAGAGUAACGGAGGAGCACGAAGGUUGGCUAAUCCUGGUCGGACAUCAGGAGGUUAGUGCAAUGGCAUAAGCCAGCUUGACUGCGAGCGUGACGGCGCGAGCAGGUGCGAAAGCAGGUCAUAGUGAUCCGGUGGUUCUGAAUGGAAGGGCCAUCGCUCAACGGAUAAAAGGUACUCCGGGGAUAACAGGCUGAUACCGCCCAAGAGUUCAUAUCGACGGCGGUGUUUGGCACCUCGAUGUCGGCUCAUCACAUCCUGGGGCUGAAGUAGGUCCCAAGGGUAUGGCUGUUCGCCAUUUAAAGUGGUACGCGAGCUGGGUUUAGAACGUCGUGAGACAGU
rnacentral:rRNA from 2 species